rnacentral:rRNA from 1 species
UAUUGGACAAUGGGGGGGCAACCCUGAUCCAGCCAUGACGCGUGUGUGAAGAAGGCCUUUUGGUUGUAAAGCACUUUAAGCAGUGAAGAAGACCUAACGGUUAAUACCCGUUAGCGAUGACAUUAGCUGCAUAAUAAGCACCGGCUAACUCUGUGCCAGCAGCCGCGGUAAUACAGAGGGUGCAAGCGUUAAUCGGAAUUACUGGGCGUAAAGCGAGCGUAGGUGGCUUGAUAAGUCAGAUGUGAAAUCCCCGGGCUUAACCUGGGAACUGCAUCUGAUACUGUCAGGCUAGAAUAGGUGAGAGGAAGGUAGAAUUCCAGGUGUAGCGGUGAAAUGCGUAGAGAUCUGGAGGAAUACCGAUGGCGAAGGCAGCCUUCUGGCAUCAUAUUGACACUGAGGUUCGAAAGCGUGGGUAGCAAACAGG